UACGUAGGGUGCGAGCGUUAAUCGGAAUUACUGGGCGUAAAGCGUGCGCAGGCGGUUCGUUAUGUCGGCGGUGAAAGCCCCGGGCUUAACCUGGGAAUGGCCGUUGAAACUGGCGAACUGGAGUGUGGCAGAGGGGGGUGGAAUUCCGCGUGUAGCAGUGAAAUGCGUAGAGAUGCGGAGGAACACCGAUGGCGAAGGCAGCCCCCUGGGUUAACACUGACGCUCAGGCACGAAAGCGUGGGGAGCAAACAGG
rnacentral:rRNA from 1 species